AUACGUAGGGGGCGAGCGUUGUCCGGAAUGAUUGGGCGUAAAGGGCGCGUAGGCGGCCCGGUAAGUCUGGCGUGAAAGUCCUGUUUUUAAGAUGGGAAUUGCUUUGGAUACUGUCGGGCUUGAGUGCAGGAGAGGUAAGUGGAAUUCCCAGUGUAGCGGUGAAAUGCGUAGAGAUUGGGAGGAACACCAGUGGCGAAGGCGACUUACUGGACUGUAACUGACGCUGAGGCGCGAAAGUGUGGGGAGCAAACAGGAUUAGAUACCCUGGUAGUCCACACUGUAAACGAUGAAUGCUAGGUGUAGGGGGUAUCGACCCCUUCUGUGCCGCAGUCAACACAAUAAGCAUUCCGCCUGGGGAGUACGGCCGCAAGGUUGAAACUUAAAGGAAUCGACGGGG
rnacentral:rRNA from 1 species